CCUACGGGAGGCAGCAGUAGGGAAUAUUGCUCAAUGGGGGAAACCCUGAAGCAGCAACGCCGCGUGGAGGAUGAAGGUUUUCGGAUUGUAAACUCCUUUUGUUAGAGAAGAUAAUGACGGUAUCUAACGAAUAAGCACCGGCUAACUCCGUGCCAGCAGCCGCGGUAAUACGGAGGGUGCAAGCGUUACUCGGAAUCACUGGGCGUAAAGAGCGCGUAGGCGGGAUAGCAAGUCAGAUGUGAAAUCCUAUGGCUUAACCAUAGAACUGCAUUUGAAACUGGUAUUCUAGAGUAUGGGAGAGGUAGGUGGAAUUCUUGGUGUAGGGGUAAAAUGCGUAGAGAUCAAGAGGAAUACUCAUUGCGAAGGCGACCUGCUAGAACAUAACUGACGCUGAUGCGCGAAAGCGUGGGGAGCAAACAGGAUUAGAUACCCCAGUAGUC
rnacentral:rRNA from 1 species